UUUACAAGGGUCCCCUGUCAGAUUGCCUCUUGCUCGAUUCUUUUCAAACACUCUGACCUGUGUUUUAAACCUAGCUACUCUAUUCUUUUAUGCUGAAAUUUUAACGCAGAUGUCAUUCAGAUCCCGAGCAGAGAAGUCUCGAUUAUAAUCCUGACCUUGAAGUGUAAUUUGUAUGGAUUAUUUUUUUAAAAGACCAGCUCUGAAAAUGGCAGCGAAUCAACUAGAGGGUGUGGUUCAAAGAUGGAGAACAACUGAAGUCUUUAAACCAGAGGACCAUAAGCUCUUUCUGAAUGCUGGUCAUACAUGCGUUGCCCAAGAUGAUUGCACUCAACUCCUGGACUUCAUAAAAGAGGAGGCCAAUCAGCACAUAGUGAGGUCUAUGGG